GCCAGUGUGGCAUAGUGAUUUGAGCAUUAGACUAUGACUCUGGGGACUAGGGUUCAAAUCCCCACUCUGCCA